rnacentral:rRNA from 1 species
AGUGAACGCUGGCGGUAGGCCUAACACAUGCAAGUCGAACGGCAGCACAGUAAGAGCUUGCUCUUACGGGUGGCGAGUGGCGGACGGGUGAGGAAUACAUCGGAAUCUACUUUUUCGUGGGGGAUAACGUAGGGAAACUUACGCUAAUACCGCAUACGACCUACGGGUGAAAGCAGGGGAUCUUCGGACCUUGCGCGAUUGAAUGAGCCGAUGUCGGAUUAGCUAGUUGGGGGGGUAAAGGCCCACCAAGGCGAGGAUCCGUAGCUGGUCUGAGAGGAUGAUCAGCCACACGGGAACGGAGACACGGCCCAGACUCCUACGGGAGGCAGCAGUGGGGAAUAUUGGACAAUGGGCGCAAGCCUGAUCCAGCCAUACCGCGUGGGUGAAGAAGGCCUUCGGGUUGUAAAGCCCUUUUGUUGGGAAAGAAAAGCAGCAGGUUAAUACCCCGCUGUUCUGACGGUACCCAAAGAAUAAGCACCGGCUAACUUCGUG